UACGUAGGGCGCAAGCGUUGUCCGGAAUUAUUGGGCGUAAAGAGCUCGUAGGCGGUCUGUUACGUCCGCUGUGAAAACCCAGGGCUUAACCCUGGGCUUGCAGUGGAUACGGGUAGACUAGAGGCAGGUAGGGGAGAAUGGAAUCCCGGUGUAGCGGUGAAAUGCGCAGAUAUCGGGAGGAACACCGGUGGCGAAGGCGGUUCUCUGGGCCUGACCUGACGCUGAGGAGCGAAAGCGUGGGGAGCGAACAGGA
rnacentral:rRNA from 1 species